rnacentral:rRNA from 1 species
UGCCAAACUCUAGCCCAACACACAUGACACAGAAUAACAAAGCCACCCACACCACUUAACCAAAGCAUUUGCUAGUCCCAGUAUAGGCGAUAGAAAAGACACCACCUGGCGCGAUAGAGACCACGUACCGUAAGGGAAAGAUGAAAUAGAAGUGAAAGACCCUAAGCUAUAAGCAGCAAAGAUCAGCCCUUGUACCUUUUGCAUCAUGGUCUAGCAAGAAAAACCAAGCAAAAUGAGUUUAAGUUUGCCAUCCCGAAACCCAAGCGAGCUACCCACGAGCAGCUAUCUUGAGCGAACCCGUCUCUGUUGCAAAAGAGUGGGACGACUCGUUGGUAGAGGUGAAAAGCCAAUCGAGCUGGGUGAUAGCUGGUUGCCUGUGAAACGAAUCUAAGUUCACUCUUAAUUCUUCUCCAAGGAAACCCAGAACCCUAAUGAAGCGAAUUAAGGGCUAUUUAAAGGAGGUACAGCUCCUUUAAAAAAGAAAACAAUCUCCACGAGCGGAUAAAUAACGACCCCAAACAAACACCUGUGGGCCCUCAAGCAGCCAUCAACAAAGAGUGCGUUAAAGCUCUGUACCCAAAAAUAUCAAACUCACAUGACUCCCUCCACACUAACAGGCCAACCUAUAACCCAAUAGGAGAAUUAAUGCUAGAAUGAGUAACCAGGGUUCUCCCUCUUCGACGCAAGCUUACAUCCGUACAUUAUUAACAAGUACCCAAUAUACGACAAAUCCAACAAGCAUAGUAUUAACCACCUUGUUAACCCGACAGAGGAGCGUCCGUUAAGAAAGAUUAAAACCUGUAAAAGGAACUAGGCAAACCAUCAAGGCCCGACUGUUUACCAAAAACAUAGCCUUCAGCAAACCAAUAGACAAGUAUUGAAGGUGAUGCCUGCCCGGUGACGUAGUUCAACGGCCGCGGUAUCCUAACCGUGCAAAGGUAGCGCAAUCAAUUGUCCCGUAAAUUGGGGCCCGUAUGAAUGGCUAAACGAGGUCUUAACUGUCUCUUACAGGCGAUCGGUGAAAUUGAUCUCCCUGUACAAAAGCAGGGAUAAACCCAUAAGACGAGAAGACCCUGUGGAACUUCAAAAUCAGCAACCACCCCAAAUAACAUACCAACCCACUACGGGCUCACUUACCCCACGGGCUAUUGGCUUGCACUUUUUCGGUUGGGGCGACCUUGGAGCAAAACAGAACCUCCAAACCUUGGACCUAACAUCUAGACUAAGAGCAACCCCUCAACGUGCUAAUAGCAACCAGAUCCAAUACAAUUGAUCAAUGGACCAAGCUACCCCAGGGAUAACAGCGCAAUCUCCUCCAAGAGUCCAUAUCGACGAGGAGGUUUACGACCUCGAUGUUGGAUCAGGACAUCCUAGUGGUGCAGCCGCUACUAAGGGUUCGUUUGUUCAACGAUUAACAGUCCUACGUGAUCUGAGUUCAGACCGGAGUAAUCCAGGUCGGUUUCUAUCUAUGAUAAGCUCUUCCCAGUACGAAAGGAGAGGAAAAGCAAGGCCUAUGCUGCAAGCAAGCCUUCGCCUUAAGUAAUGAAGCCAACUAAAUUACGAAAGGCUAUCACUUCCCCCCACGUCCUAGAAAAGGACCA